AGAGGCUUCAAUUUUAAUUUGAGAAUUUAUAUUAAAAACAAUUUUUUAUACUACAAAGAUUCCGUAUGACGUCAACGUCUAUUUUUGUUAGAUUAAGAUAUAUCCUGAUAUAGGCCUAAAAUUCUAAAUGACAAAGACACAAUCUAAUUCAAUAGCAACGAGAUACAUGUAAAGUUGUAAAAAGUUGUGUAUUCAAGAAAAUUCGACCGAAUUUACAAGUCUUUGCUGAAGACUGUAGAAUCACGAGUAUGCUGAGGAAGCAUCAGAUCUCCCAUAAGACAUGAAAUUGUUAGUAUGAUAACGCAGCAGCCUCCUCUUCCUCGACGAGGAGCUUCAAGCGAGUUUCCGUAGUAUGCGCCCAUUGGGCAGCCUCCUCGGAGAUUUCAGAGAUUUUUCGACUCAGGCUUAACCACUACCAUGAU